AGUCAGUUAUGGACUGAAACUUCCACGACCUAUGAACCAAAUGAGGAUUUCCUCCUUUAGCUUCGGCGGUUGGGCAUUCGAUCUCUACAACUAGAAAAGUAACUGAGAGAGAAAAUAUAUGUUUGCGGGUCUAUAUGUUCUAGGAAAGGAGAGAGAAUGAGAGAAGGGAGGAGAAAAGUACUUUGUAACAUUUGUGAAGGGAAUAAUCAGGAGGGAGCCUUGGAGUGGCCCAUUGCCAUGACUGUACUUAUCUAG
rnacentral:lncRNA from 1 species